UACGGAAGGCACAGUGGGGAAUAUUGCACAAUGGGCGAAAGCCUGAUGCAGCUAUGCCGCGUGUAUGAAGAAGGCCUUAGGGUUGUAAAGUACUUUCAUCGGGGAGGAAAAACAAAACUAAUAAUUUUAUUUCUUGACGUUACCCGAAAAAGAAGCACCGGCUAACUCCGUGCCAGCAGCCGCGGUAAUACGGAGGGUGCUAGCGUUAAUCAGAAUUACUGGGCGUAAAGAGCACGUAGGUGGUUUUUUUAAGUCAGAUGUGAAAUCCCUGGGCUUAACCUGGAACUGCAUUUUGAAACUGAAAUACUAGAGUAUCGUAGAGGGAGGUAGAAUUCUAGGUGUAGCGGUGAAAUGCGUAGAUAUCUGGAGGAAUACCUGUGGCGAAAGCGGCCUCCUAAACGAAUACUGACACUGAGGUGCGAAAGCGUGGGGAGCAAACAGGGAUUAGAUACC
rnacentral:rRNA from 1 species